UACGAAGGGGGCUAGCGUUGCUCGGAAUCACUGGGCGUAAAGCGCACGUAGGUGGAUCGCUAAGUCAGGGGUGAAAUCCUGGAGCUCAACUCCAGAACUGCCUUUGAUACUGGCAAUCUCGAGUCCGGGAGAGGUGAGUGGAACUGCGAGUGUAGAGGUGAAAUUCGUAGAUAUUCGCAAGAACACCAGUGGCGAAGGCGGCUCACUGGCCCGGUACUGACGCUGAGGUGCGAAAGCGUGGGGAGCGAACAGG
rnacentral:rRNA from 1 species